rnacentral:lncRNA from 1 species
CCAGGACUCUCCUAGAGACAGGGCCUUGGAUCCUGGGACAGAGGGAAGCAGAGGCCUUGCGAGUUGGCGGUAGCGGCGUCCGUGACCUCCACCCCCUGAGCUGCGGGACCCGGUGACUCCCAGGAAGAGCACGAGCCUCUGCCGGCCGCUCCAGCAGCCACUCCCUUCCCGCCUCCCGCUAGCUGCCGCGGGCGGCAGGGGACUGAGGGUCAAACCCGAACUCCAGCGGUUCCCCUCAGAUAGUGGGACCAACCCGGAGCUCCAGUGCGGCAGGACCCGGCCCGGGCUGCCCCAGCUGCGCCUCGCUUCCGGCUACAAGUUUGCCCCGUGCCCGCCAAAUUGACUUGCCGAAAAAGAGAUUUCGAAGGGCAUCACAAGCAUUCUUCUGAACUUCCAAAACUCUGUGGCCCAAAAGGCAUGGAUGGGUGUUUACAUCAUUUUUUACAACAGUGGAGUUUGCACUAUUGCUUUGAAAAUCCUUGCUUGACAGCAUUCCAGGCACACAUUAGGAACAGACAGUCCACCCACCAGGCACAUUUACUUCUUGUGCCAGAACUCCAUCUGUAUUUCGAAACUGCUGGUAACAACUCAGUGAAUCUUCUGUACUGCUGAGCCUCCAUUCAUGCAUUCCAUUAUUUCAAAUCUGAACAUGCCCCAGGAACUGCCUGAGGAAUAUUCCUCACUCCCAGCCUUAGAAUUUAUGGC